rnacentral:rRNA from 1 species
AUUGAACGCUGGCGGCAGGCUUAACACAUGCAAGUCGAACGAGUGGCGGACGUGUGAGUUAUGCUUGGGACUCUGGCUUAGGGAGGGGGAUCACGAAGGGAAACUGUCACUAAUACCGCGUACCAUAGGCUGAGCCCAAGUGGGAUUAGUUAGGGGGUGGGGUAAUGGCCUACCAAGACGACGAUCUCUACCUGGUCUGAGAGGAUGACCAGCAACACUGGGACUGAGACACGGUCCGGACUCCUACGGGAGGCAGCAGUGGGGAAUAUUGGGCAAUGGGCGAAAGCUGACACAGCCAUGCCGCGUGAAUGAAGAAGGCCUUCGGAUUGUAAAGUGCUUUCGGUGACGAGGCGUUAAUCACAGAAGAAGCACCGGCUAACUCCGUGCCAGCAGCCGCGGUAAUAC